rnacentral:rRNA from 1 species
GCCUGCCCAGUGACCAUGUGUUCAACGGCCGCGGUAUUCUGACCGCGCGAAGGUAGCGUAAUCACUUGUUUUCUAAAUAAAGACUAGUAUGAACGGCCACACGAGGACUUAACUGUCUCCCUUGUCCAAUCAGUGAAACUGAUCUCCUCGUGCAGAAGCGAGGAUAUUACCAUAAGACGAGAAGACCCUAUGGAGCUUUAAACUAAAAUCAACUAUUUUUAACUUCUCUCCAAGGAAUUAACAGAUAACCAAAUAUGCUUGAUACAAGUUUUAGGUUGGGGCGACCAUGGAGAAAAAGAAAUCCUCCCUGAUGACUCACAAACCAAGAGCCACGGCUCUAAGUAUUAAGAUACUUAACUUCCAUUGACCCAUUUAAUGAUCAACGAACCAAGUUACCCUAGGGAUAACAGCGCAAUCCAUUUCAAGAGUCCCUAUCGACAAAUGGGUUUACGACCUCGAUGUUGGAUCAGGGCAUCCAAGUGGUGCAACCGCUACUAAAGGUUCGUUUGUUCAACGAUUAAAGCCCU